GACAGCUUGAAUGAAGGAGGAAUUGAGUUUAUAUAGAGUCUCAGAGUUUCUGAUGUGGUUUAUUGAAUGAGUGCAUCCCGGUUUUCUUUUAUGUUGUAGAGCGCUGUCGGUUUUGAUUUGCAAUACACAGACUUGGCUUGAAUGCUCAGAGCUGGAAGUUGGGCUCAGUUUACUUGUCGGUUUAUGCAGGGUGGUUUGGAUUUUGCAGCAAGUAUUCUCGGAUUUCCGUGAGUUGGCUUUGAAUUGGCAGCAUGCACGUCUCGAGAUUUGACCACGUUAUUUCUUGAAUGUGCAGGAGCUGCUCACUUGUGUAAUGGAGAAAUGGAGGAGACGAACGGAGGCAAGCUUUGGCGAGGGACACAACUUUGGCUUAUGUCCACUAGAAUUAGCAAAUCGUUUUGAAUUCGAAAUAGGGACUGAAUGUAAUAAAACCUUUGGUGUUUUGUAACCCUUGUUAGAACCUGUCCAUAUCCCGUGUCUUUGUAGAUUGGAUGCUUCAAGACCUUGUCAGAAGUUUAUGGCUUUUUGUAAUGAAAUGUUUGAUUGUGAUUUGUAAUGGAUGUAACUUGUAAUAGACUAUC